rnacentral:rRNA from 1 species
CUGCCAUCUUGUCUGGAACAUUUCUAAUCUUGUCUGAUUUCAGAAGCUAAGCAGGGUUAGGCCGUAUAUGUGUUUGGAUGGGAGACCACCAAGGAAUAUCUUCUCCAGAGACAC